UACAAGUUGUUAUUGACCGUUCAAAGCCUCCGAACUGCUUCGUGUGUGGCUUGUAUAUCUAACCGCUGGCUGCGAUUGAGUCACGCGUUGGUGGAAGUUUCUCAUUAAAACGUCAACAAUAGGCUCGUUUGCGGAAACGGCUGCUACUUCUGCCCGAUCGAGCCUGACUACAAAUGUGCUGCCGGUGCGAUUGAUCAAAACGCUUAAACGCAUAAGUGAAACGACCGCGACGCGCCUCCAAGUUCAAGCACCGGCGCAAAUCCUAGUGAUUAAUCUCACAGGAUAAGCGGCCCCUGCCCUCCUUUUUCUCCUUUAACCGUCCGUGCCUUCCGGAACGAGCAGGUGUUGGUCUCCGGCGGCUUAAGAAGCAGGAACACCUCGCUGCCGUUGACCUCAUGUUCGAGAACGUCCUCGGGUCGAUUUAGCUGAAAAUAACCAAACGGAAGGCCCAUUAACUGGAUUUUCCUACCCGAAAUACUCACUGAAACGAAUUCACUGCACGACCACGCUAACCAGUUGAAUGACAGAAGUUUCGUUUAUCGACUUGGUCAACACUCUAACGGAUGCGGUGUAUAUGACAUCCGCUUUGAUCGCCCCGGGGCAGCAGUCUUUUGAAGGACACUAUCCGUUUGUGUUUGUUUUACCGACCAACGUUAAAAUAAACUUGUCGUUUGUGAUUCUAACCCAAGGUCUCAUGGCGGGGUGUUUAUUUCUGAACGAAAAUUCCGACGCCGUUGAAACAUACUGCCUAAUUUUACCUCCAUUUUCCCCCGGCUUAUGGCACAUUGGUAACUGUUUGAUGAUUUUUCUUACGCCAAUGACGCGUUUUAUUUGGUUGAUUCCCAUUCUCCCAUGGCCGAAUCAAAACCCAUAACUACGAACAUGGAGUUCGUACUUAAUGACGCAAACCUGUCGAGACGGGCGUGCCCGGGAUAUUUAUCUAAUGGAUUCACAACUUGUAAUGUGUUAGGCAUCCAUAGCCUAACUGUGAACUUUAAGUGCCUUUCAUCUUAAAAUCAAAAGUACCGAUGCCUGAAAUUGAGUUAAAUAACAAGGGUAGAUAAACUUUAAAGCGAUGUUGAUCUCAUACACAAGCAAAGUUGGUUUGUGCAAAUUAAUUCUUUCAGCUUACUUGGCAUUCCUGUAUCUAGCCAAGUGAGUUCGGUUAAUUUCGGUUCCUUUACUCCCGUGAUACCGCGAACCACGCGGCCUCUGUGUUGUGAAUAGAAGACAGGCGGUUGCCCUUUUUUCCUUCUCUCCUAUACAGUAUUUGUUUGAUAGCUGGCGCGGUUGCCAACCAAGCCGUAUAAAUUGCUGGUCUGAGUUUCGUUGAGCAUCAUUCCCGUUCAGAGGCUCUCUGGAAAGGAGGUAUAAAGAAGUUUACGGAUUAUUCAAAGAUUUCAACAAAGAAUCUUCAUGGAUGUGAAUUGGACUAUUAAGUCAGGGGCUCAUGCCACUACUAUGCAAUGGCCUCCUGUGCCAUAAAGACUUAUUGAGAAGAAACAAAGUUGAAGAAACUAACUGAUGUUGAAAAGCAAGGAGCACUUCAAUUGCUUAUCGUCGAUUAGUUAACCGAAAACAUUUCGGUUUUCUCCGAUGUUUAACGCUGGGAUAGCAUCGAUGCUUGAGCGUUCAUUGGCGACGAAAUAAAAGCACAAGUGACCCUGUGCCUUCUUGGUCAAGCUUGUAAUAAUGGUUCCUCAAGGACUCUAAUGUUUGAGGAGAGGUCCCAAUUACUUGCCACUGACCAAGACAACAUGUCCAAAAUUAUCCGGCUUUUAUCUACCACAAAUCAGAUAUUAAACCCUCUUGAACGAAAUAUUAAAGAAAAGAAAAUACGUAUCGCAACCACGUCUUCCAGUUAUACGUGCCUUCGUGUUAUGACACAGCAAGACGAUCCACAUCGUGCCUGUAUUAUUAUAUAUACGCAACCAACAUUGAUAUAUUUGUAUCUUUUUGUUCUAUUUAUUUGAUGUGUUUUUGACUCCAUUUGAGAUUAUAUGACUUUUAUAUUCAAAUGUAAAAUUUCACUGUUUUAUUUUUUUGCAAACUUUAUUUUACGUUUAGUGUGAUCUUUGUAUAAUAAACGUUAAAAAAUCUAAA